GAUGAACGCUGGCGGCGUGCCUAACACAUGCAAGUCGAGCGAGGGUUUGCUCAGUAUUGAGUAUUCUAAGAUUAGAAUGUUCAAUUCUGAGCAAAACCAAGCGGCGGACGGGUGAGUAACGCGUGGGUAACCUGCCCUAUACACAUGGAUAACAUACUGAAAAGUUUACUAAUACAUGAUAAUAUAUAUUUGCGGCAUCGCAGAUAUAUCAAAGUGUUAGCGGUAUAGGAUGGACCCGCGUCUGAUUAGCUAGUUGGUGAGAUAACUGCCCACCAAGGCGACGAUCAGUAGCCGACCUGAGAGGGUGAUCGGCCACAUUGGAACUGAGACACGGUCCAAACUCCUACGGGAGGCAGCAGUGGGGAAUAUUGCACAAUGGGCGAAAGCCUGAUGCAGCAACGCCGCGUGAACGAUGAAGGUCUUCGGAUCGUAAAGUUCUGUUGCAGGGGAAGAUAAUGACGGUACCCUGUGAGGAAGCCCCGGCUAACUACGUGCCAGCAGCCGCGGUAAUACGUAGGGGGCUAGCGUUAUCCGGAUUUACUGGGCGUAAAGGGUGCGUAGGUGGUCCUUCAAGUCGGUGGUUAAAGGCUACGGCUCAACCGUAGUAAGCCGCCGAAACUGGAGGACUUGAGUGCAGGAGAGGAAAGUGGAAUUCCCAGUGUAGCGGUGAAAUGCGUAGAUAUUGGGAGGAACACCAGUAGCGAAGGCGGCUUUCUGGACUGCAACUGACACUGAGGCACGAAAGCGUGGGUAGCAAACAGG
rnacentral:rRNA from 1 species